rnacentral:rRNA from 1 species
AUACGGAGGGUGCAAGCGUUACUCGGAAUCACUGGGCGUAAAGCGCGCGCAGGCGGCUUGAUAAGGUGGAUGUGAAAGCCUACGGCUCAACCGUAGAACUGCAUCCAAAACUGUCAGGCUAGAGUGUGGGAGAGGAAGAUGGAAUUAGUUGUGUAGGGGUAAAAUCCGUAGAGAUAACUAGGAAUACCAAAAGCGAAGGCAAUCUUCUGGAACACUUCUGACGCUGAGGCGCGAAGGCGUGGGGAGCAAACAGGAUUAGAAACCCCAGUAGUCC